CUCCACCCUAACUGCCACAUAGGAUGAACCUGCACUUUGACUAUGGUUUAUGUGUCCCACAAAGGUCCGUGUGAUUGGAACUUGAUCCCUAGCUUGGUACAAUCGAUUAAACAUAGCAGCGGUGGAUGCGCAACCUUCCAGACUGUGCACCACCAGAUCCAGUAAGGACCCAAGGACCCCAGAGGAGGUCUCUCCACCUGCCUGCCCAGGACCACCCAGCAGAUGCGUGACCUCCCGGACUGUGCGCCACCAGAUCCAGUAAGGAUGUUAGCCGUGUAGGCACACUUGAAACAGCCCCACGACCGGCUGCCCCCCCG
rnacentral:lncRNA from 1 species